UGAAUCUAAAUCGAGUUGCAAGUCAGAUUUGAAUAUGGGUGCAUGAGCAAGUGGCACAGGGAUCCUGGAAUGAACAAUUGACUUAAAUAUGAGAAAUUUAUUUACAGCAAUAAGAAAAGAAUUUACAUUAAUAUAAGAGUUUACAUUAAGGUUAUAAAAAUUACUUAAAUCUACCUAAACUAACUUAACUUAAUCCUGUUAAAGAUUCAAGAGUUCAAUAUUCGAGGUUUGAGAGUGUGUGAGAUGAUCCCUUCACAUACCUGAUGAUAGAGUGUACAGAAUUAAAUUAUUAAUCCUAGUAACAAUCCAAAUAUACAUUAAAUGUUUAAUGUUUGCAAAAUUCAUUACGCGCACAGUCCAGUUCCAUGUGCCAUUAUCAUUGUCGAUCUCUUCAUUGCCGUUGUCAUUCAUCUCCGUUGGCUAUUGUUAUCUCCUUUGGUUGUCUCUGCCUCAACAAGACAAGCAUGUUUUCCCAUCAUUAAGACUUACAUUUUUUAUUGUUAUUCGUUCACCUUCAAAAGUAGACUCAACAUCUGUCUUCUCUACUGACCCCCUCGUCCUCUCCUCCUCCUUUUGAAUAUGAUUCCCUCUGACGUUCCAAUGUUUUGUUCUCAUGGCUCUGCUCUCGCAUUGUUUUCCUUCAAAGACAGUUCCCACAACAUUUUAUUUAUGUUUAUUUUAAAUAUGGGUGUUAACAGUAAUAAUGAUAUAUCAAUAAUAAUCGAAGAAAGCUAAUUUUGAC
rnacentral:lncRNA from 1 species